UACAGAGGUCUCGAGCGUUAGGCGGAAUUACUGGGCGUAAAGCGUGCGUAGGUGGUGAGUUAAGUCUGAUGUGAAAUCCCCGGGCUCAACCUGGGAAUGGCAUUGGAUACUGGCUCGCUAGAGUGCGGUAGAGGGUGGUGGAAUUCCCGGUGUAGCAGUGAAAUGCGUAGAGAUCGGGAGGAACAUCUGUGGCGAAGGCGGUUCUCUGGGCCUGACCUGACGCUGAGGAGCGAAAGCGUGGGGAGCGAACAGG
rnacentral:rRNA from 1 species